GGCACUCCUGUGAAAUUUCACCUGCACUAUAUUCCAACUAUUCGAUUACUGUCAUCACCUUUUGGUCCUUGUUGUCCUGUCUUAAGAAACCCACCACACCAUUGCCUUCGCUUUUGCCACUGCUGCCACCACCCCACUAUCACCACCACCACCUCUCCUCCUCUUCCCCCACCAUCACUACUCAGCAGCACCAUAAUCACUCCACCAAAAAAUACAGUUGGAUCUCACGUGUCAGAAUAUUUUGGAACAACUGGGUUGAAAUUGACAGAUAGGCUAUUUAUUAUCCGGGGACGAAAUAUGCCUUUAAACCACGAGUUGAUAAAUAACAGAGGGAAGAAGAACAAGCCAAGAUGCGUGAGAAUGAAUCUGUGGCAGUAGGUUAGGGUCCUGAACAAGAAGGGCUAGAGUCUGAGCCGACAAGAACGGAAACCUUAUAUAUGGCUGAUAAAGUUUGACAAAGAUCCUGUUGAGGGAUGGGUUCAAAGUUUUAAAAUUGGACAUUAAGGCCUGCCGUGCCGGUGUGCAAAUGGAAAUGCUGGGUAUGAUGAUUGCUUUUAUGUGCAUACAAAUAUAACCAAUAUGUAAGUAACCUUUUUUGUUGAGGGAUGGGUUCAAAGUUUUAAAAUUGGACAAUAAGGCCUGCGGGUGUGCAAGUGGAAAUGCUGGGU
rnacentral:lncRNA from 1 species